UCGAAUUUACAUUUUCUAAAAUAAAAUAAUACAAAAAACCAAAAAAGAGAAGGAAAAAUUGAGAGCGAAUACUAAGUAUCAAAAUCAUUUUGAGGAGAUGAGAUGGAAGACGGAGGCGAAGCAACAGAUCUACUCAUUGAAGCUUGUAAAUGCUCUUUGCCACUUUCGCUACCCUAAUUCCACUAUUGUCUUCGGUCGCGCAGUCCGCAAGGUUGUAGAUCGUGUCCUUGCACCUUGCUAACUCUGCCAAAGGCGGGACUUGUUGGAGCGGCAAAUUCUCAUGGGUUGACUUGCUCAGGUCAACAGGAUAACACAAAAGAAUGGUAAAAUCGAUGACUGAAAUUUCUCGAAUGAAGAAACCAGUUGUUAAGAAAAAAUUGAUGCCUUUUUAAAGGAAAGUGCAGGUGCUGGGAAAGUGCGACUAAUUAUAUUGCAACUUUAGAAAUGCAAGUCAAAGCCAUGACAUUUUUCACUGGCCUCCUGAAUGGUGAUGGCUUUAGAAAUGCAAGCUAGCGAGGUUGGGCAAUGUAUUAGCGAUGGGUUGGUGGUGACAGUGGUGGUGUAGCGGUCGAUGGUAUGUUUGUGAUGGUAGUGGGUGAUGGUGGC
rnacentral:lncRNA from 1 species